GGAAUGCGGAUUAAAAAAGACAGAGCCUCGUUUUUGGAUAAAAAAACUCCGUGUUCGCAUUGAACCUCCUUUACUCGACUUUGUAAAUCAUCUGUUGUUGAUAUACUGACUCGCAGAAGAAGAAGAAGAAUGAAACUGUCAGUUUAAUUGCACAAAAUGAGGAAUUAGGAUAGCUAUUUAUUAACCAAUUGUAACCGAAAAUACUUGCUGGCAAUAAUGACGACAAGUAGUAUAACUAUAAUUGAUGAUAGCAAUCGUUAUACAAACAUUAUCGGGAGCAAUGGAGGCGGUGCACAACCACGAAAACUAUUACGGAGUCAAGAGGCGGAAACACAAGAACUACGCAUCUUAUGUUUUGAUUUAACAUAUUACAACAAGACUACAAAAUUCCUUUUGAGUUGUGCAGGAGUGUUUAUAUUGUACCUUAUGUAUGGUUAUUUGCUAGAGUUAAUUUUCACAAGGGAAGGUUUUAAAUCAAUUGGUUGGUUUUUGACUUUAAUCCAGUUCGGUUACUACAUCUGUUUCGGUUUACUGGAACGCGUUUUCGAUGCGCAGCGGAGUGGCGUGACUACUUUGAAACGUAAUAUACCAUUACGAACUUAUGUGAUAUUAGCCGCUUUAACAUUGGGCACAAUGGGCUUUUCUAAUUCAAGCUUAGGAUACUUAAAUUUUCCCACUCAAAUUAUUUUUAAAUCGUGCAAGCUAAUACCUGUGAUGGUAGGCAGUAUUUUGAUACAAGGAAAACGAUAUAGAACUUUGGAUUUUCUAUCCGCUAUAACAAUGUGCAUCGGGUUAGCCUGGUUCACUUUGGCCAACUCUCAGAUAUCACCAAAUUUCGAUAUAAUAGGGGUGGUCAUGAUAACGCUAGCAUUGCUUUGCGAUGCAGUAAUUGGCAACGUACAGGAGAAAGCUAUGCGUGAUUAUCGUGCACCAAGCCAUGAAAUCGUCUUUUAUUCUUAUGGCUUGGGUUUUAUUUAUUUAUUGGCGGUUCUGUUAAUAACGAAUAAUUUUUUUAAUGGUUUGGCUUUCUCCCUACAGCAUCCUCGUGAAUGUUUUGGUUAUGGGUUCCUGUUCAGUUUGUCCGGUUACCUUGGCAUACAUUUUGUUUUAGCAUUAGUAAGAAGUACUGGUGCACCUAUAGCUGCCACUGUAACGACUGCAAGAAAAGCGGUCACAAUAGCCAUAUCGUUUUUAUUCUUUAGUAAACCUUUUACAAUUCAAUAUGUAUGGUCUGGUCUUUUAGUCGUUUCUGGAAUUUAUUUAAAUGUUUUUAGCAAAAAAUACAAACUUACGCUUGAUUAUAUACCACAAAGAAUCCAGCAUUGUUUGUUUACAAUGGGGUUUCAAGCCAAGUCGUCCAGUCGUAAGUUUCUAUUGGAAAUUUAAUUUGAUGGAAAUGGUAUAUUGCAGCAUAGUAAUAAGAAAAGGUAAAAAUUUAAACAAUGAGCGGGCACUGGAUGAGACCACUUUUUGAAAUACAUGAUACUGAUGCCGAUUUUGCAUUGUCGGUUGAGCAUAGAUAAAAAUAAUAAACAUAAAUUAGAUGAUUUGUCAAUUCCCAUAAAGUGUUGUAAAAAGCCAGUAAAGAUGAAGUCGUGACCAUAAAAUAGGUAUAUCAUUGUGUCGCUCACUAACAAUAACGAGCAAGUAAGAUUGGAUGUGACCGUAUCUUUUAUGCUCCCACCGCCUUUAUCCUAACAAGAAAAGCCUGAAACCAACCAAAAAAGCUUCAUCCCGAUACCCAAUAACAUAGCAAAACGUCGAAAUUGUUUUUGACGAUAGACAAAAAGUUACAGGGGCUUCAGCUAAUAGCUCAAGAGAAAUUACAAACUAUUAUCUGUUCCAUAC